rnacentral:siRNA from 1 species
UGACCCUCCUGCUGCCAUUCUGCU